rnacentral:rRNA from 1 species
GCAAAAAGUUUGUAUCUAAAUAAAUGCCAGUCGAACGAAGGUAUCUUAACUUCGUGGCGCACGCCUGCGAAACGCGUGGCAUCUGCCCUUACGUUCGACCUAACACCUGGAACGGCUGAUAAUACCGGAUGAUAUCGCGAGAUCAAAAAUUUAUCCCCUGAGGAUGAGCCCGCGUUGGAUUAGGUAUUUGGUGGGGUAAAGGCCUACCAACCCGACGAUCCAUAGGUGGUCUGAGAGGAUGAUCAUCCACACUGGGACUGAGACACGGCCCAGACUCCUACGGGAGGCAGCAGUGGGGAAUAUUGGACAAUGGGCAAAAGCCUGAUCCAGCAAUGCCGCUUGAGUGAUGAAGGCCCUAGGGUUGUAAAACUCUUUUACCCGGGAACAUAAUGACUGUUUCGGGAAAAUUAACCCCGGCUAACCCCGUGCCAGCCCCCGCCGUAAUAGGGAAGGGGCCAACGUUGUUCAAAAUUACUGGGCGAAAAGCCCACGUAGGGGGCUUUGUUAAUCAAAAGUGAAAGCCUGGAACUCAAAUACAAAACUUGCUUUGACAAUUGCUCCCUUGAAUCCAAGAAAAAGUUAGUGGAAUUCCGAGGGGAAAAGUUAAAUUUGAAAAAAAUCUGAGAGAAAACCCGUGGCCAAAGCGGCCGAAUGGACCGGGGAAUGACUCUUAAGUGCGAAAACGGGGGGGAAACAAAAAGGAUAUAUAUAUCCCUGGUUAUCCCCCCCCCUUUAUCAAAAAUAAACUCAAAUUUCCCGGGCCCUUUGUGGCCCUUUGUGGGCCCAGGUUUUUUCCUUAAAAAUUAUUCCCCCUAUUGUGAGACACCCCCCCCCCGGGGUUUUAACUUCAAACUAAUUUUUUUGAUUGCCCUCCAACAAACUCCCGGGAGGGUUUUUGUUGUUUUUUUUAAAACAACGCUGCUUCAACCUCUCUUACCGAGAUUCCCCGGGGAACGACAUUUCUCCCCGAGAUGAGGUACUUACCACCCCUGUGAGCACCACCUAAUAAUAGCGCUCGCGGCGGUGGCUGACAAUCUAUCGUCGGGGGUGAAUUUAUAUUUGUUGGAAUUAACCCCUCUACUUCCCCACCCCGUACACAUAUUUUUUUUUAUCCACUCACUAUGUGUUGUGUUGUUUUGCGUUCAAUCCGAAGCAAGGUCGACGGGAUGAAGUACACUACGCCAGAAGAAGGGAAGGUGGAAUUAAUAGUUCCUCAGUGCUCGCCUAGCAACGUAAGGGGCGUGGGCCUUCCCAUCCAAUGUCUAUGGACUUUACGUUCAGUCCACCACUAUGACCGUAGUUAAUGAGUAUGCUGCUUCACUCAUGAUC